UACAGAGGGUGCGAGCGUUAAUCGGAAUUACUGGGCGUAAAGGGUGCGUAGGUGGUUGAAUAAGUUAGGUGUGAAAUUCCUGGGCUUAACCUGGGGACUGCGCCUAAUACUGUUUAGCUAGAGUAUUGUAGAGGAAAGUGGAGUUUCCGGUGUAGCGGUGAAAUGCGUAGAUAUCGGAAGGAACAUCAGUGGCGAAGGCGACUUUCUGGACAAAUACUGACACUGAGGCACGAAAGCAUGGGGAGCAAACAGG
rnacentral:rRNA from 1 species